GAUAUAGUGUACAAAAAUGAGCCGUAUCAAGAGCAAGAACUUGAACAAUUAUUUGACCCCAAUAAUGAGUACAUCCAAUUAGCUACCAAUUUAUUAGAUAACGAUGCCAUUGAAGAUAAUGUAGCUACUAACUUGGAAAGGGAUAUGUUUGAAUGAAAGUUUGUACAGAAUUUUACCAAAGAUUUCAUAUGGAAAGACAACCACCAAUAAUAAUUAGUAGAGGCAGAGCUUUGUACUGAAGUUGGAAUUGUUACCAGAGAUCUACUCGAUGGCUCAUGGACCAUGACUAUCACUAUCAGCUGCCGUGCCCAAAAAGAAAAAGGCAUAAAUUACAGGCUUGUGGAUGGUCCUAAUUCUAUGCUACUGUUUUUAUAUAUUAGAUGGUGCUAUUUCUAUGCUAUUGUUUUUAUUUUGAGGCUUUUAUGUAAUUAGAUGAUAUUGAAAUAUUAAAGUUGUUUCAUUUUACUUUUUAAAGAAAAACAAUAAUAGUUAUGUAGAACAAUA